CCUUUCCAGCCGUCACCCCUUAUGCCCCCAUUGGCCACCCUUGUUCCUCCGACCAGCAAGCCGUCGUUGUGCUGUUGAGCCCACUGUCGUCGCUAACCGCCACCUCCUUCUUCACUUCCGGCGUCGCACCACCACGGUUGGGACUGGUGACCACCGAAACCACCUUCACGAAGUUGUUGCGGCGGUUCUGACGCCAACACCAGCCGCUACCGUCCCUUCACAACUUCUUCUUCUUCUUUUUAUGCUUCCCUCUAUCCAACGCCUUUGUGACGCCAUGGUGAACCCGGCGACAAGAGUGAAAAACCGAGACAGCGGUUGUUUUUGCUGCCCUAGAUCGCUGCUAUCGCCGCCAUUAUGUUGUUUCCGCAACUGUCGCCGCUCACCACCGCUGUAAGGAUGGGUGCGUGUGAGUUUCAGUCGUGUGUCGUCGGCAUGGGGGUGCUUUUGGUUUGCUGAUCUCGAUUUGAAUGCUUGAUGGACAGGAGGACCUGAAGACAAACCACCAUGGCCGUCGGCCAUGGUGGCUGCCGCUGCUAACAAGCUGUUACCGUUUUUGCCAUCCCAAGUCUGCUGUUGUCGCUGCCAUGAGUGUGUGAUCGGGUGUAUGGUCAUUUUCUGUUGGCUGGAGUUGCCAAGAAACCACCAUGGCCGCUAGCCAUGGUGGCUGCCGCCGUUCGCUGCCGCCAACCACCAUUAGGUUGUUGGAUACAUGUGUUGUAUUAGUGUGUGUGUGUGUAUGUGUGUGUGAUUAUUUGGGGUUUUAGCAUUGUAAAAUGUAACCGGAAAGAAAAAUAAUGAAAAGAAAUUGAAAACCACCACCUUAGGGUGGUAGCUGCCGCCUCCUGCUGCCACCGGCCACCGUGUCGGGUGGCGGUGUGUUUUGCCUCGUUGUGAUCGAUUCGUUUGGGGUGCUUGAAACCCUAGUGGGCCUUGUAAGCCCUAAUGGGCCCAAUGAAGCUUAAUGGACCCUAAUUGACCCAAAUAAAAAUCUAAUGGGCUUAAUGAUAUUUUAGUGGGCUUAAUAGGCCCAAUAAAGCCCUAAUUGACCUAAAAGCCCAAUAAAUUGAUAAAUGGGCUAAUAUUUGGAUUGGAAACCCUAAUUAGGGUUUGGAAACCCCUAAUGCCAAUAAAACCCUAAUUUGGGGAACUAACCGGGACAUGCGGGAAUUAUUUAAUAACUUGAGAUAUUAAAUAAUAAUCAUUGGCAAAGAUUAAUCUAAGUGAUAUUGGACUUAAUGGAUUAAGUCCUUAAUGGGUUAAGUAGGAAACUUAACCCUAACCAUCAUUUUAUGUGAAACUCUAAUUUCACUUGGGUUUAUUGUUGGGCCUCUCUUUUGGGUCUUGAUGAUUGGGUUAUUAAUGGGUCAUCCAAAGUCAAUCAAUUGGACUAGAAUAAUUUAAUGGGCAUAAGGUAAGCCCCAUGCAAGGGGUUUGGGCCCAAUUUGGAAAAUUGGGCCAUAGAUGAGCCAUAGUUUGGGCAUUAAUGAUUAUAUGAUAUUGGGCCAUUAGAAUGUCAAAUGUUGGACUGGAAUAAAUGGUUGGGCCUUAGAGUGAGACCAUGUAAAGGUUUGGGCCCAAUUUGGAAAAUUGGGCCAUAUGUUGGGCUUUGAGCUAUAGUUGGACUUUUGGGUCUUUGGAUUGGGCCUCAGGCUUGAAUCAAGCCAAGUUAGGGGUAGAGUAGCCUUUUACCCCCAAGCAUGGACUCAUGGUUAUGUAGUGGAACCCAAUUAUUAAUUGGGUGUUAUUUUGGUGUUGACAGUUCGGGAAUCUGUCAUCCAGCAGUGGGGUUGAGUCUGCGGGACUUCAGCAGUGUGGGAUUGUGUACGGGACUUUAGCCGUGUGAGGUAUUCGUUUUCAAAGGAAAGGAACCGGCUUGAUCGCAGCGCAUCACACUAUGUUUUCCGCACAUGAGAUCAUUGGGAUGACACUCUGAUAUUAUUCUAUGAUAAUAUGUUUUGAUUACUGAUACUUUGGUUUGACACGAGAUAUUAUUAUGAAUGUUUUUAUACAGAUGGUUUUAUGUAAUAACUUAUUUAAAAAUGAAAUUUUUGGCCUUGAAUUUUGGGAUGUUACACAAGUACAGUGGCUCUACAUAUGGUCUAAUAGGUGUGAUAUUUAAAUAUGCUAAAGUGGCAACUGAAUGUAUGCAACCAUACCCAUUAAGUUGUCAUAGCCUGCAACUGCAUUUUUUUUUAACAUGAACAAUAUAUGCCUCGUCCAUAUUCCUUGCUUCAAACUUCAUACCCCCACAAGAUACGACCUGAUAAUGCCUACAUAGUUGAAAAACCAAAGUAUUAAGAGAUGUUUAUAACAUUUAAUUUUUUACCAACUUUUAUAUAACUAAAAAAAAACUUUUUAUAUAAUUUAAUUUAUAACAUUUAAAUUUCCACAAACUUUUUCCAGCAACUUGUAUACAUUUAGAUUUCCACCAACAUUUUCCAUGAACUUUUAUACAUUUAAAUUUCCAUAACUUUUUCCACCAACUUUUAUAUAUUUAAAUUUCCAGCAAAUUUCAUUAAAUUUUUCACCCACUUUCGUCCAUAUCAACCACUAUAUAUAAGAACACAUUCUCAACAUUUUAAUACACACAAACUAUUAUUCAUUUUUCUCAUAAAUUGUGUCUUUCCUAUAAAAAACAAUGUCGUGUUCGUCUUCAUCGUCUUCAUCAGACGAUGUUUUCGACAACUUAGUACAGUCGAUCUUCUCCAUACGUAAUAGGCUAGAACAAAAUUUUAACAACUAUGAAUCCAACAAUGCGCAACAUAGACAAAGAAGAUAUAUCCAAAGACAACGUGAAGUAGCCCACCAACAUCUCUUGCAUGAUUAUUUUGACGAGCAUGCACUCUUUCACAGAUAUUAUUUCCGCUGAUGGUUCUGGAUGCAUAAAGAUUUAUUUAUGUGUAUUGUCGAAGGUGAGAGUUGAGUAUAUGAGGCAAUGCCCGGACACAAGAGGUACAUUAGGCUUUGAUCCAAUUCAAAAAUAUAUUGAUGUAUUUCGUAUGUUAACAUAUGCCACUCCCCUAAUGCAAUGCAUGAUUAUUUUGACGGGCAUGCACUCUUUCACGGAUAUUAUUUCCGUUGAUGGUUCCGGAUGCAUAAAGAUUUAUUUAUGCGUAUUGUCGAAGGUGAGAGUUGAGUAUAUGAGGCAAUGCCCGGACACAAGAGGUACAUUAGGCUUUGAUCCAAUUCAAAAAUAUACUGAUGUAUUUCGUAUGUUAACAUAUGUCACUCCCCUAAUGCACUAGACGAGAGUUUUAGGAUAUCUG